rnacentral:rRNA from 1 species
GACGAACGCUGGCGGCGUGCUUAACACAUGCAAGUCGAACGGUGAAGCGCCUUCCUUUUUGGUGGGUGUGCAUGAGUGGCGAACGGGUGAGUAACACGUGAGUAACCUGCCCCCUUCUUCUGGAUAACCGCAUGAAAGUGUGGCUAAUACGGGAUAUUCUGGGUCUGUCGCAUGAUGGGUCUGGGAAAGAUAUUGUUUCGGUGGGGGAUGGGCUCGCGGCCUAUCAGCUUGUUGGUGGGGUGAUGGCCUACCAAGGCGGUGACGGGUAGCCGGCCUGAGAGGGUGGACGGUCACACUGGGACUGAGACACGGCCCAGACUCCUACGGGAGGCAGCAGUGGGGAAUAUUGCACAAUGGGCGCAAGCCUGAUGCAGCGACGCCGCGUGAGGGAUGGAGGCCUUCGGGUUGUGAACCUCUUUCGCCAGUGAAGCAGGCCUGCCUCGUUUGUGGGUGGGUUGACGGUAGCUGGAUAAGAAGCGCCGGCUAACUACGUG